rnacentral:rRNA from 1 species
AUUUGGAACAUGGGUGCGGGAAAGACUCGGGAGUCGUCCCCUCCGUCUGCGGCUGUCUCUCUCCCCCCUUGCGGGGACGGGAGAGAGAAGCGGAGAGGAGGGGCGGAUUCCGGGUCCGAACGCGGAGUUGUUGGGACCUCAGAUCAGGCAAGACCACCCGCUGAGUUUAAGCAUAUCACUAAGCGGAGGAGAAGAAACUAACAAGGAUUUCC